rnacentral:rRNA from 1 species
GACGAACGCUGGCGGCGCGCCUAACACAUGCAAGUCGAACGGAGCUGAGAGAAGCUUGCUUUUCUUAGCUUAGUGGCGAACGGGUGAGUAACGCGUGAGUAACCUGCCCUGGAGUGGGGGACAACAGUUGGAAACGACUGCUAAUACCGCAUAAGCCCACGAUCCGGCAUCGGAUUGAGGGAAAAGGAUUUAUUCGCUUCAGGAUGGACUUGCGUCCAAUUAGCUAGUUGGUGAGGUAACGGCCCACCAAGGCGACGAUUGGUAGCCGGACUGAGAGGUUGAACGGCCACAUUGGGACUGAGACACGGCCCAGACUCCUACGGGAGGCAGCAGUGGGGGAUAUUGCACAAUGGGGGAAACCCUGAUGCAGCGACGCCGCGUGGAGGAAGAAGGUUUUCGGAUUGUAAACUCCUGUCGUUAGGGACGAUAAUGACGGUACCUAACAAGAAAGCACCGGCUAACUACGUG